GGGUGUGUGGUUCAGUGGAAGAGCAUGUACUUAACAUGUGUAAGGACCUGGGUUCAAUACCCAGUACCACUA
rnacentral:tRNA from 1 species